AUCAAUAUGGCGGUUUGAAAGGAGUGAAAAAUUGUGAAAAGAAUCGAUUAGAUUUAAUAAUCUAUGAAAUACGCUUUCUUCACCCUUUAAACAACGAUGAGUAAACAAAAAGAUGCAAUACAACUGGAACGUUCAUUUUUGCUGAGACUACCUGAGGUAUAUUAGCUUUUGAGAGUUUGUUUGACUGUUUUAUAAGCGAUUAAAGCGAACGAGUUGACAUACUAAGAUUUCUUUAUUUUCAACAUUUUCGUCUGAAAUAUAAUACCUGGCAUACGUAAUGAAGAUCGAUCAUCGGAAAUGCCAUUGAUCAAUUCAUAACAACUGAAGAGAAUUAGUCAAUUAAUCGGCAUUGGGCAAUUUCAUCGAUUGAGGCCACUAUGGAGUCUACAUGCAGUAGCUAUUUGUUGCAUAUUAGUUUCUCCCAUAAUGGAAUUGGUGUAUGUUAUGCCAAAUAUAUUGGCAUAAGCAGACAUAGAAAAAUUAAAUUAGUAAACAAGUACAUGUGCUACUGUCUGGCACCCUGACUGGAAAGUUUGGAAAUUGUGCGCCCAAUUUAAUAGUAAAAAUAUAGAAAGCAUGCUGUUAAAAAUUUUUUUAAAAAAUGCUGUUAUAAAAUAUUUAAUUAUGUGUAUCAUGAUUGAUGAUGAUGAUUUUGUUUUCAUAAUAAAACAUACACUGUUUGUGAUCCAUAUACGCUGGAUGUUUUUACUGGAUGUGAUUUUUGCUAAACAAGUCAUUCUCAUUUUAUAUAAUGUUACAUACUUCAGUGAAAUUGAUAAUCAAUGAAAAUCAAUAUCGAUCAAUAGUAAUCUGUUGAUAUUAUGCACCAAUCAAAGUAAACCCCGACGGCCCUCACCCUGGGAUAUAGGUGGGGAUUGGUUUUGAAUACCGUACCAAAACAGACAAAUGCCCCACAAUAUGGGACAAAAUUUUCUAGCAAAAGGCAGAAAAGGCCCUACCCCCCGGGGGGAAAUUGUAAGUUGUGUGAAUGUAUUUAUCUCCUGCAUAAUAUCUCCUCGACAAUCUCCGGGCCGCCGCUUAAACCGUCCACAUUUUAAAAUAUUAAUAUUUUGUUCCAAAACUCAAAAGAACGAUAAAACAUAUUAAUAUAAACAAACAAAUGUCGAGCUUUCCACAACAAUAGAUUCCAUGGAUGGAUGGAGUCGGGACAUAUUAACCGGUAUUAACAAAUAGAUUGAAAAGAAAUUAAAUUAAUCAUAUAUUUAUAAAAUUCCUCUCGAUUUCAUUUCCUUACGAGGACGCCAUUUUGUCCUUUGUCACAUGGUAUAAAAUGGUAGAACCUGGGGAUUCCAUUGGACAAAACGGUACAAAAUAGUACAAAAUGGCCGCAGACAAUCCCCUAAUAAUCCCUAUUAUCUCCCGGCAUGAUUCGGCAGAAUGACAAAACCAACAAAUUCCUGACAUGGUUGGGACAGAAUUCGAUGACAAAAAGCCACUAAAUCCCCACCAAGUCCCCUCUUUGCCCGGGGUGGGGGGGGGGGUCGGGCUUUACUUUGACUGGUGCAUUACAAGCAGUGCUUUAGUGAACAUUUUAGAUUUUGGUAGUGUUUCUAAAUUUCAAGGGUGUGUGCCAAUUGAAAGUAGUUUUGAUUCUCAUUUAAUACUAAAUCCAAUAACUCUUAUUCAAGCUUUCAAGUUGUGUGCGGUUUUGAGAAUAAGUUGGUGCUCAAGCAAUUGGCAUAUGUUUUUUUUUCACAGUGUGGGUAGUGCCUUGUGUAUGACUUUGAGUCGCACUCUUACCACUUGGACAUGGUCCAAUAAUUUGAAUUAGGUUCCAGAGUUGUGCUUGCCAACAAUAUACUGUGUGUUUGUUGUAUCCUUUACAACAGUGUUUUUGUUUUUUGUUGUGAUGCACUAUUUAGUGUUUAACUCUUUGUAUACAAUAUUUCUAUGUAUUUUACAACCUGUUAUUGGAGCUUCGGCUCUGUGUGUGCGCCCUUACUGUUUUUGGGUAAAAUAAAUAAAUAAAUAAACAGUGCACUGAAUCGAUGGCGCUCCUUACUGAAUCCUUUUAUAAACUACUUUUCUCACAAAAAACUCAAACUCACAAAAAUACCAACUGAACAGUUUUACUUCCAGUCACAUAAAUUGUAAUUAAUAUGUACUAUCUAAUCAUACUGUUAUGAACUGAUUACAACACAAAUAAAUGAAAUCAAUAAAAAUCAAUAAUAAGGCCACUAUUUGUUGUAUAUUAAUUUCCUGUAGUGGGGGGGGGGGGGGGGGGGAGGGGGGAGGCAGCCAUUAUCAUUAUGCCAUUAUGAAGAGUGACAUCUUUGUGCAUGCUCAUAAUUUUUAUUGAUACAUCCACUAGAAUAUCAAAAUGUAAAGUGAUGUGUUGGAGGUUUGAAAAAGCAUGAAAGGCAGAGAACGCAAUGGGAAGAAAUUGGUUUUGUGAAAGUUCUGUAUUUACAAGAAAAUAAUGGCCAUUGAAGUGGCUGUCUAAGGCAUGCAGGCAAUGGGUGGCAGAGAGACUUCAUAGUGGCAUAUCGCUCUUACUAUAUCAUUCUGAAGCCAUAUUUUCAAGCCAUUUUUCAAGCCAUUUUUCCAACCACUCGCAAUACAACAUGAAUGGCGAGUGCUGUAAACAACUUGUGCACAAUGAACUAAUUCAUGUUACAAAGUUUAAAAUCACUCGUAGUUGCAAUAGAAGAGUUCAAACUACUGGUGUUUGUAACUAAUUAUCAUUUUCACUAUUCGUUUGUAUAUCAUGGGGUUCUUGUGUAACUAUUAUGUAGUAUUACAUACGAGGCUUUGUUGAUUUAUUUAUUAACUUUACAACGUUCUAUACACGAACAAAGAUAUUAAAUUUAAGAAUAUACACAUGUAUAUGAAUGAAAGGAAUAAGGUUGAAGGUAUAGCUAUCAUGAUUCAAAUUCCAGGCCGAGGUCAUCCUGAUCAAAAUAUUACAGGUGAACUACGUCAAGCGUUACUCUUUUGAGUUUCUAAAUUGAUUGAAAUCAUUACCUUUGCAGUUUAAAAAAACUUCCUUGCAAUACCCUUGAGGGAAUUUGCAAUGUUGCUAAAAGCCGAUUAAAUUUUGUUACAAGUUCCUAACUUCAGGUUCUGUUCUGCGCGUUACAAUUGGCUAACAAGAAUAAUCCACCAAUGACAAUGUUCAGAACAGAAAGGAAGUCAGGAAAUUAAAACAGGAAAUUAGGAAAAUUUUAAAUGAACUUUUUUUGCAUUGUAAUACAGGGUGUCCCCAAAAAAGUGACGCUAUAGAAAUUAUACAGGAUUCCAUGGCCUGGUAAUUAAAAAUUUUUAAUUCAAUUGUGUUUACGCACUAUUGUGUUCAGCAUAGUGCUCAGGCAUUCAAAUUAUAACAAUAGGAUAUUUCUAUAGAGGGUACUUUUUGGACUGCAACAGCCGAUAGGAACAUAAUUGCAAACUCCCUCCAGGGAUUUGCAAAGAGUUUUUCAAAUUUGCAAAGCUAAUAAAGAAGAUUCCACAUCAGUCAGAAUCCACGUAGUCCACGUAGUUUACCUGUAAGCUGGAAAUGGAAUGCAAAAUGUAUUUAUAAAAACUAUGAAGCAAUGAUCUAACUGUAGAUAAUUUUUAUACUCGUGACACAAUAACAUGCAUCGUCAAAUAAUGGCGCUAGAAAGUACGUCGUUUCGAUUGCCCACCCUCCGAUUUUCCACAUUUCAGUGGUUAUCCCAGUACACUCAUACCGUGUAACAUUCUAAAGUAACAAACCAAUUACUUUUAAAAGACUGCACGCCCAAGGAGUGUUUCAUUUCACCUCUACCCCUUCCUCGUGAAACUCUUGUACAAACAGUACGACUUUAGAUCUAUGUACCUUUAGAAAUUAACUUAUCUUUAUAUUCAAAUAACGUUCUGCUGCUUAAUGUGGAACUCUUUGAAUCAAUAGAGAAAUUCAGAUUUGGUUUCCGCUACCAUCAAUGGACUAUUAACCAAUCAGAUGCGUUUGAUAUAUUCGAUUAACCAAUCAGAUGCGUUUGAUAUAUUCGAUUAACCAAUCAGAUGCGUUUGAUAUAUUCGAUUAACCAAUCAGAUGCGUACUAAGCCAGUGAGAGGUAGCGACAUUGGUAGUUGGAAGUCAAAUCUGAACCUCUCUAAUGUACACUCUUCACCCACUCCACCGUUUCUUUGAUCGUUUCAAGACGUACGAUAUGGCUACCCGUUACUGGGAUAGCAACUGACGUUUAUUUCUUUUUUGAAAGCCUCAAGCAGAGAUGGUGAGAAAAACUCUUCAUGCUGGAUUCGUGAAAGAUUACCUCAGCAUUGAGUUUCAAG
rnacentral:lncRNA from 1 species